AGUGAACGCUGGCGGUAGGCCUAACACAUGCAAGUCGAACGGCAGCACAGUAAGAGCUUGCUCUUACGGGUGGCGAGUGGCGGACGGGUGAGGAAUACAUCGGAAUCUACUUUUUCGUGGGGGAUAACGUAGGGAAACUUACGCUAAUACCGCAUACGACCUACGGGUGAAAGCAGGGGAUCUUCGGACCUUGCGCGAUUGAAUGAGCCGAUGUCGGAUUAGCUAGUUGGCGGGGUAAAGGCCCACCAAGGCGACGAUCCGUAGCUGGUCGGAGAGGAUGAUCAGCCACACUGGAACUGAGACACGGUCCAGACUCCUACGGGAGGCAGCAGUGGGGAAUAUUGAACAAUGGGCGCAAGCCUGAUCCAGCCAUACCGCGUGGGUGAAGAAGGCCUUCGGGUUGUAAAGCCCUUUUGUUGGGAAAGAAAAGCAGCAGGUUAAUACCCCGCUGUUCUGACGGUACCCAAAGAAUAAGCACCGGCUAACUUCGU
rnacentral:rRNA from 1 species